AAAACUUACCACUGUUUCACUUGUUUCUCAGUAUGGGAAUAUUUUUAUUAAUAUUUCACCAAAAUCUUUUCAAGAAAUUCAGAAGGACUCUGCAGCAGAAUGAUAUAUUGACAUCAUUAAUUUUUCUUUAAGUUUUCUGAAAUCAUUUCAACAAUUAAAACUUGUUUAAGAGACUCAGCUUUAGAGUUGCAUGAUAUAUGAAGGCAGAAAUUUUUUCCUACUUGUCUGAGUCAGCACUUUGCCAGUUUACAUAACACUAAGGAUUGUGAUUUAAAAUAUUUCUGAUCUGGACAUGCUUUGCAAAUACUACUGAGCAGAGAAAUACAAAGUUAUACGGGACUUGAGCACAGCGGGUUGUACUGCUGAAAGAUUUCCAAGGGCAUGAGCAGAUGGAGAUCAGUUUAUUAAAGAACGAAGCAGAUGUGUUUCAGGUAUGAAAAUGUCUCAUCGUUCUCUUGUGCUGUGAAGAGGAACUUGACCUUAUUGUGCAUUUUCAUGUGAAUUCUUUUGUUUCAUGUUUUAUUUUUUUCCUUUCACUUUUAAUCUUAUAACGUGGCUGCUGCAGAUGUAGCAAGCUGAAUUAACUCCAUUAUUUAAGAGAAAUUAAAAAUGAAUUUGGAUUUCAAUAAUUA
rnacentral:lncRNA from 1 species